rnacentral:rRNA from 1 species
UACGUAGGGGGCGAGCGUUGUUCGGAAUUACUGGGCGUAAAGCGCACGUAGGCGGAUUUGUAAGUCAGGGGUGAAAUCCCGGGGCUCAACCUCGGAACUGCCUUUGAUACUGCAAAUCUCGAGUCCGGAAGAGGUGAGUGGAAUUCCUAGUGUAGAGGUGAAAAUUCGUAGAUAUUAGGAAGAACACCAGUGGCGAAGGCGGCUCACUGGUCCGGUACUGACGCUGAGGUGCGAAAGCGUGGGGAGCAAACAGG